UACGUAGGGGGCAAGCGUUGUCCGGAAUCAUUGGGCGUAAAGCGCGCGUAGGCGGCCAGAUAAGUCCGGUGUGAAAGCCACAGGCUCAACCUGUGAAUGCCGCUGGAAACUGUCUGGCUAGAGUCCGGGAGGGGCGAGUGGAAUUCCUGGUGUAGCGGUGAAAUGCGCAGAUAUCAGGAGGAACACCAAUGGCGAAGGCAGCUCGCUGGAACGGAACUGACGCUGAGGCGCGAAAGCGUGGGGAGCGAACAGG
rnacentral:rRNA from 1 species